rnacentral:lncRNA from 1 species
CAACACAGUCCAAACCAUCAUAUGUAGCAACCGAACUUGUCAAAACAUAACAUGAAAUUGUCAUACACGCAAAUUUUACGAAAAGACGGAGAUAUGCUCAAAGCUCGAAACACUUUCCUUUUCCAGAAAUCCUAUGACCGCGCAGAAAACAAAUCCAACCCCAGCCAACAACCAGACCAGGAUGGGAAAGCAUGAACAAAAUCGAAACCACGGGAUAUUAAAUUGCAUAUUAAGCAAACAUCAUAAAUACCUUGUCGGAUCAAUUAUCAUUCAAAGAAGUCCUAGACAGUACAUCAGAGAAA